GUGUUAAACCGAAGGAAGGUGGGGAUGACGUCAAGUCCUCAUGGCCUUUAUGAUUGGGGCUGCACACGUCCUACAAUGGCGCGAACAAAGGGAAGCAAACCCGCGAGGGCAAGCAAAUCCCAAAAAACGCGCCUCAGUUCGGAUUGCAGGCUGCAACUCGCCUGCAUGAAGCCGGAAUCGCUAGUAAUCGCGGGUCAGCAUACCGCGGUGAAUGUGUUCCUGAGCCUUGUACACACCGCCCGUCAAGCCACGAAAGUGGGGGG
rnacentral:rRNA from 1 species